rnacentral:misc_RNA from 1 species
AGCAGCCGCGGUAAUUCCAGCUCCAAUAGCGUAUAUUAAAGUUGUUGCAGUUAAAAAGCUCGUAGUUGAAUUUCGGGAUUAAUAUGUUGGUCGUGCCUUGGUACGUACUGGCAUUAUUGAUUCCUACCUUCUGAAGAACCUCGAUGUCAUUAAUUUGGUGUCUUGGGGAAUCAGGACCGUUACUUUGAAAAAUUAGAGUGUUUAAAGCAGGCUCGCGCUUGAAUACAUUAGCAUGGAAUAAUGAAAUAGGACGUUUGAUUCUAUUUUGUUGGUUUCUAGGAUCGACGUAAUGAUUAAUAGGGAUAGUUGGGGGCAUUAGUAUUCAAUUGUCAGAGGUGAAAUUCUUGGAUUUAUUGAAGACUGACUACUGCGAAAGCAUUUGCCAAGGAUGUUUUCAUUAAUCAAGAACGAAAGUUAGGGGAUCGAAGACGAUCAGAUACCGUCGUAGUCUUAACCAUAAACUAUGCCGACUAGGGAUCGGAUGAUGUUAAUUUUUAAUGACUCAUUCGCGUCCG